rnacentral:rRNA from 1 species
UACAGAGGUCUCAAGCGUUGUUCGGAUUCCUUGGGCGUAAAGGGUGUGUAGGUGGCGCGCUAAGUCGGGUGUGAAAUUUCGGAGCUUAACUCCGAAACUGCAUUCGAUACUGGCGUGCUUGAGGACUGGAGAGGAGACUGGAAUUCAUGGUGUAGCAGUGAAAUGCGUAGAGAUCAUGAGGAAGACCAGUGGCGAAGGCGGGUCUCUGGACAGUUCCUGACACUGAGACACGAAGGCCAGGGGAGCAAACGGG